ensembl:misc_RNA Y_RNA Y RNA
GGCUUGUCUGAAGUCAGUAGUGUCUACAAUUAAUUGAUCACAACCAGUUACAGAUUUCUGUGUUCCUUCUCCAUUCCCACUGCUUCACUUCACUAGCCUUAA